GAGUUUGAUCCUGGCUCAGGACGAACGCUGGCGGCGUGCUUAACACAUGCAAGUCGAGCGAGGCCCACCUUUCGGGGUGGUGUCCUAGCGGCGAACGGGUGAGUAACACGUGGGCAACCUGCCCUCAGCUCUGGGAUAACUCCAAGAAAUUGGGGCUAAUACCGGAUAUGACCGCUGACCGCAUGGUCUGGUGGUGGAAAGAUUUAUCGGCUGGGGAUGGGCCCGCGGCCUAUCAGCUUGUUGGUGGGGUAGUGGCCUACCAAGGCGACGACGGGUAGCCGGCCUGAGAGGGUGACCGGCCACACUGGGACUGAGACACGGCCCAGACUCCUACGGGAGGCAGCAGUGGGGAAUAUUGCGCAAUGGGCGAAAGCCUGACGCAGCGACGCCGCGUGGGGGAUGACGGCCUUCGGGUUGUAAACCUCUUUCAGCAGGGACGAAGCGAAAGUGACGGUACCUGCAGAAGAAGCACCGGCCAACUACGUGCCAGCAGCCGCGGUAAUACGUAGGGUGCAAGCGUUGUCCGGAAUUAUUGGGCGUAAAGAGCUCGUAGGCGGUUUGUUGCGUCGGCUGUGAAAUCCCGAGGCUCAACCUCGGGUCUGCAGUCGAUACGAGCAAACUAGAGUGUUGCAGGGGAGACUGGAAUUCCUGGUGUAGCGGUGAAAUGCGCAGAUAUCAGGAGGAACACCGGUGGCGAAGGCGGGUCUCUGGGCAACAACUGACGCUGAGGAGCGAAAGCGUGGGGAGCGAACAGGAUUAGAUACCCUGGUAGUCCACGCCGUAAACGUUGGGCGCUAGGUGUGGGGCUCAUUCCACGAGUUCCGUGCCGCAGCUAACGCAUUAAGCGCCCCGCCUGGGGAGUACGGCCGCAAGGCUAAAACUCAAGGAAUUGACGGGGGCCCGCACAAGCGGCGGAGCAUGUUGCUUAAUUCGAUGCAACAAGAAGAACCUGACCUAGGCUCGACCAAUACGUAAAUCCUCCAGAGACGGUGGGUGUGUAAGGGCGGUGCACAGCAGGUACAUGGUCGUUGUCUGUUCGGCUGGUGAGAUCAUGGUCUAAUUGUCCCAACGAAAACAGGCCUCAUUCUGAAGGCCGUCAUCGUCACGGCGGGACUCAUAGUCAGGCUUUGGGGUCAACUCGGAGGAAGGUGGGGAUGACGUCAAAUCAUCAUGUGGUUAUGUCUCAGUCUGCAAACAUCCUACAAUGGUCUCAGCAAAGGUUGCGUCGUGCGAGGUGUAGCGAAUUCCAAAAACAACAAGUCAGUUCGGACGGGGUCAGCAACUCGCGAUCAAGAAGUUGGAGUCCAGAGUAAUCGCUCAUCAGUAAUAUUCCGUAGAAUACGCAACCUGUCGGAGUUCUCCCAGAGCUGAGGGCCGGGAAAGUCGGUAACGUCAGAAGUUGGUGGCCCAGACCUCGUGGAGGGAAGCUUGGAAGGCGGGAUCGGCUGGAUCACCUCCUUUCU
rnacentral:rRNA from 1 species